UAGGGAAUCUUCCGCAAUGGACGCAAGUCUGACGGAGCAACGCCGCGUGAGUGAAGAAGGAUUUCGGUUCGUAAAACUCUGUUGUUAGAGAAGAACAGCGCAUAGAGUAACUGUUAUGCGUGUGACGGUAUCUAACCAGAAAGCCACGGCUAACUACGUGCCAGCAGCCGCGGUAAUACGUAGGUGGCAAGCGUUGUCCGGAUUUAUUGGGCGUAAAGCGAGCGCAGGCGGUAAAUUAAGUCUGAUGUGAAAGCCACCGGCUCAACCGGGGAGGGUCAUUGGAAACUGGUUGACUUGAGUGCAGAAGAGGAGAGUGGAAUUCCAUGUGUAGCGGUGAAAUGCGUAGAUAUAUGGAGGAACACCAGUGGCGAAGGCGACUCUCUGGUCUGUAACUGACGCUGAGGCUCGAAAGCGUGGGUAGCAAACAGG
rnacentral:rRNA from 1 species